rnacentral:misc_RNA from 1 species
AAAUUGGUAUCCGAGCAAAGCAGAAAAGGCCCAGUGUUUUUGCUUCUUGAUUUCUCUGUCUACACUCUAGAAACGGCUCUUCAGAAGAAGACAAGUUCUGGGCACAGCUCAGGGACUUAUACUAGCUCCCUGCUCUCCUCUUCAUCAUUUCACUCCAGCUACAGUUUGCUUUCAAUAGUGUGAUUUCUCUAGCUAAAAUGCUCAAUCACUAAUCUCCCUUUCUCUAUUGAAAAUAUUCUUGCUUAUUUUCUUUCUAUAAUCUGCAAUGGAACUUGGGUAUUCUCCUAUUGUAGUUUUGAACAUACGGUGUUUGAUAAAAGGACUGUGGUGAUAUAAUUAUCGUUAGUAGAAGAUUACCAGGAAAUCAAUAUGGUCCACAAAACCCCGUGUUCAAAAU